rnacentral:lncRNA from 1 species
GACAAACAGGAGGAAUUCUACACUAUCACUCUUGCACCACAUCAUCAAUAACAAGCCAAUCACCUUUCUUCUUUUCAAACAAAAGUAUAAUAAAAGUAUUUUUUUAUAAUCACGAUGGGACAUAUAUUUCUAAAAAGAAUUUUUGAUUGAUUUGUUACGCCACGUCAUCAAUAUACCCGUUGCAUUCUAGAAUUUUUCGACAAACAGAGAGGAGGAAUUUGGAUAUUG